UACGUAGGCAGCGAGCGUUGUUCGGAAUUACUGGGCGUAAAGCGUGCGCAGGCGGCUUUGCAAGACAGAUGCGAAAUCCCCGGGCUCAACCUGGGAACUGCAUUUGUGACUGCAUGGCUGGAGUGCGGCAGAGGGGGAUGGAAUUCCGCGUGUAGCAGUGAAAUGCGUAGAUAUGCGGAGGAACACCAGCGGCGAAGGCGGCAUCCUGGACUGGUCCUGACACUCAGGAGCGAAAGCGUGGGGAGCGAUCCGG
rnacentral:rRNA from 1 species